rnacentral:rRNA from 1 species
UGGGGAAUAUUGGACAAUGGGCGAAAGCCUGAUCCAGCGACGCCGCGUGAGUGAAGAAGGCCUUCGGGUUGUAAAGCUCUUUCAGUAGGGAAGAUAAUGACGGUACCUACAGAAGAAGCUCCGGCUAACUUCGUGCCAGCAGCCGCGGUAAUACGAAGGGAGCUAGCGUUACUCGGAAUCAUUGGGCGUAAAGCGUGCGUAGGCGGCUUUAUAAGUCGGAAGUGAAAGCCUGGGGCUCAACCCCAGAAUUGCUUUCGAUACUGUAGAGCUAGAAUACCAGAGGGGAUGGCGGAAUUCCUAGUGUAGAGGUGAAAUUCGUAGAUAUUAGGAGGAACACCGGUGGCGAAGGCGGCCAUCUGGCUGGUUAUUGACGCUGUUGCACGAAAGCGUGGGGAGCAAACA